rnacentral:rRNA from 1 species
CCCUUAGAUGUUCUGGGCCGCACGCGCGCUACACUGAUGCAUUCAACGAGCCUAUCCUUGACCGACAGGUCCGGGUAAUCUUUGAAUCUGCAUCGUGACGGGGAUAGAUUAUUGCAAUUAUUAAUCUUCAACGAGGAAUGCCUAGUAGACGCAAGUCAUCAGCUUGCGUCGAUUACGUCCCUGCCCUUUGUACACACCGCCCGUCGCUCCUACCGAUUGGGUGUGCUGGUGAAAUGUUCGGAUCGGCCGUUUGUCGCGGUUUCCGCGUCAUGUGGCUGAGAAGUUCAUUAAACCCUCCCACCGAGAGGAAGGAGAAGUCGUAACA